rnacentral:rRNA from 1 species
GUCUUUUUGAUAAUAAUUUAAAGUCUAACCUGCCCAAUGAUAAUUUUAAUGGCCGCGGUAUUUUGACCGUGCAAAGGUAGCAUAAUCAUUAGUUUUUUAAUUGAAAGCUGGAAUGAAUGGUUGAACGAAAAAAUUACUGUCUCAAUUUAAUUUAAUUAGAAUUUUAUUUUUAAGUUAAAAAGCUUAAAUGUUUUUUAAAGACGAGAAGACCCUAUAGAGUUUAAUAUUUUAUGAAAUUUAAUAUUUUAUAAUUUUAUAAAUUUUAUAAAAUAUUUUAUUGGGGUGAUAAGUAAAUUAAAUUAACUUUAUUUUUAUUAAUACAUUAAUUUAUGAUUAAUUGAUCCAUUUUUUAUGAUUAAAAGAUUAAAUUACCUUAGGGAUAACAGCGUAAUUUUUUUAGAGAGUUCAAAUCGAAAAAAAAGAUUGCGACCUCGAUGUUGGAUUAAAGUUAAUUUUUGGUGUAGUUGCUUUAAAAUUAAGUCUGUUCGACUUUUAAAACUUUACAUGAUCUGAGUUUAAACCGGUGUGAGCCAGGUUGGUUUCUAUCUUAAAAUAAUUAUAAUAUUUUAGUACGAAAGGACCAAAUAUUAAUAAAAUUUAUUUUUUUUAUGAAUAU